rnacentral:ribozyme from 1 species
GAAGCAGUGGUUCAGGGAAGUUUGGUUCAAGCGUCCCAGUAAGUUAGCAACAAUUAAAGUUCGACUUAAAAACAUCGAA